rnacentral:rRNA from 1 species
CGAGAUCAGCCUCGGUCUCGUGGGCUCGGAGAUGUGUAUAAGAGACAGGAAACAGCCCAGACCACCAGCUAAGGCUCCUAAAUAAAAGCUAAGUGGCAAAGGAGGUGAAAGUGCAGUGACAAUCAGGAGGUUUGCCUAGAAGCAGCCACCCUUUAAAGAGUGCGUAAUAGCUCACUGAUCAAGCGUUUUCGCGCCGAAAAUGACCGGAACUAAGUUUUUUGCCGAAGCUGUGGCUACAUCACAUAGAUGAUGUAGGGUAGAGGAGCGUUCCGUCCAGGGGGAAGCCAAGCGCGUAAGCCGCGGUCGACAGGACGGAAGUGAGAAUGUCAGAUUGAGUAACGUAAACAUUGGUGAGAAUCCAAUGCCCCGAAAACUCAAGGGUUCCUGCGCAAGGCUCGUCCGCGCAGGGUCAGUCAGGACCUAAGGUGAGGCCGAAAGGCGUAAUUGAUGGCAAGAAGGUUUAUAUUCCUUCACUAGUCUAGGCUUAGUCCUGAGGGACGAACAAAUAACACUCGGCACAACGGCCACACUUGGCAGUAUGGAUAAACCCGUUGCUGUUUGAUGCUAUUUAUUCCAAGAAAAGCUCAUUCGACUUUGAGUCUAGAUUACCUGUACCGUAAACCGACACAGGUGAGUGGGUUGAAUAAACUAAGGGGAGCGAGAUAACUCUCUCUAAGGAACUCGGCAAAUUGGCUCUGUACCUUCGGAAGAAAGAGUGCCCCUUCAUGGGGCCGCAGUGAAGAGAUCCAGGCGACUGUUUACCAAAAACACAGGUCUCCGCAAAGUCGUAAGACGACGUAUGGGGGCUGACACCUGCCCAGUGCCAGAAGGUUAAAGAAGUUGGUCAAUCUUUGAUGAAGCUAACGACUGAAGCCCUGGUGAACGGCGGCAGUAACUAUAACUGUCCUAAGGUAGCGAAAUUCCUUGUCGGGUAAGUUCCGACCCGCACGAAAGGUGUAACGAUCUGGAUACUGUCUCAGAGAGAGACUCGGUGAAAUAAAACUAGCUGUGAAGAUGCGGCUUACCUGCACACGGACAGAAAGACCCUAUGAAGCUUUACUGUAACCUGGAAUUGCUUUCAAGCUUAUUUUGCGCAGCUUAGGUGGGAGGCUACGAACCUUUUCUUCCGGGAAGAGGGGAGCCAUCAGUGAGAUACCACUCUUGGUAAGCUAGAAAGCUCAGUCUUAACCGUUAUCCGGUAAGACGACAGUUUCAGGCGGGCAGUUUGACUGGGGCAGUCACCUCCCAAAAGGUAAUGGAGGUGCACAAAGGUUCCCUCAGGUUGGACGGAAAUCAACCAUAGAGUGUAAAAGCAUAAGGGAGCUUGACUGCGAGACUGACAUGUCAAGCAGAGACGAAAGUCGGUUUUAGUGAUCCGACGGUGCUGCGUGGAAAGGCCGUCGCUCAACGGAUAAAAGUUACUCUAGGGAUAACAGGCUGAUCUCCCCCAAGAGUUCA